UGUGGGUGUGGGGGGUCCUCAGCCCGGAUUGUGAGAGGGCGCAGGCCAGGCCAAGGGACCCCACUGGUGCAUG
rfam:Myotis lucifugus cont2.45448, whole genome shotgun sequence.